rnacentral:rRNA from 1 species
UGGGGAAUCUUGGACAAUGGGGGCAACCCUGAUCCAGCCAUGCCGCGUGAGUGAUGAAGGCCUUAGGGUCGUAAAGCUCUUUCGCCUGUGAAGAUAAUGACGGUAGCAGGUAAAGAAACCCCGGCUAACUCCGUGCCAGCAGCCGCGGUAAUACGGAGGGGGUUAGCGUUGUUCGGAAUUACUGGGCGUAAAGCGCACGUAGGCGGACCAGAAAGUUGGGGGUGAAAUCCCGGGGGCUCAACCCCGGAACUGCCUCCAAAACUAUUGGUCUAGAGUUCGAGAGAGGUGAGUGGAAUUCCAAGUGUAGAGGUGAAAUUCGUAGAUAUUUGGAGGAACACCAGUGGCGAAGGCGGCUCACUGGCUCGAUACUGACGCUGAGGUGCGAAAGUGUGGGGAGCAAACAGGAUUAGAUACCCUGGUAGUCCACACCGUAAAACGAUGAAUGCCAGUCGUCGGGUAGCAUGCUAUUCGGUGACACACCUAACGGAUUAAGCAUUCCGGCCUGGGGAGUACGG